AUGCCCCAGAGACAAAAUACUGUCAGCGAGAACUCACUGCAAGUACAUAUCGUAGAGGUGAACGGGAUUCUGCCAAUGAUUGAGUGGAUUCCAGAAUCAUCUCAUGAGCAAAUGAUGGAGGAAACCACAUCUUGGAGGUGUGCUGGACUUGUCUCAGCGAACAUUGAAACAAGGAGUCCUGAAGCUCUUUGGAAGAAGGCAUCUGGAAAGAAAAUCGAAUGGUGCCACAAGCGCCUGGAUAAGGCGUCCCACUUUGGGUCAUCAUCGCCCACUGCAGCCAGGCCCAGAGUGGUGAUCCGGAGACUGGCGCGAGGAAGAGGUUACAGAGGGACAAGCAGGCAUAGGGAACAGAAGCUCAAACCACUGGUGAAUCACAAAGACCUGCACAAUAGCUACUAUAAUCUGUCAACACUACAUAAUCGCUAUGGAUGUCUCUGUAGCCCUUGCCAACCGCGGUUGAGACACAGUCCAGGGGGAGACCAGCGAGACGCCACACAGAACCUUGACAGGAAACAGCAAGAGUUUUCAGAAGCAAUUGGGGACAUUUGGUGUCUGUCAGGAUGCCCGAAGAACGCCGAAUCCCCUCCGACUCCGCACCAUGUCACUUUCUCUCAUAUUUUACAGGUUCUCCAGACCAAACCAGCCAAUUUUCCAGAGGUCAGGGGCCAGAGAUGUCACAGGGCUCUUUAAACGUAGCUGAGAGCGUUCAAUAAAAGACAUUCUUCUUUUUAUAGUCUGUACACAUCAGUGAAGUGCUAGUCAAAGAAAACACCACAGGCUUCAGAAUAUAUUUUUUUAUUCAAACUUUAAAUUUCAUCGUCUCUACAGUGUAAAAGGUCAUGAAUUCAAAGCCCUAAAAGGACUCAAAGAGAUGGACUCAUGUCGAUUUGGUAGGAAAUCCAUCUAUAGUAUCCAAAUAAACCAUUCAAUAAUGAUUUUCAAGGUGGGAUGGGAGAAUAAAAUAUAGGAAUCAUAAGUUAAAAAAGCUUUUGAGGUCGAAAGAACAUCUUUUAACAACCCAGAACUCUGUGCAGGCUAUAAAACAGAACAUAAAAUAAAUAUAAACACGAUUAAAAAACAUCCAUUUGGUACACAGUAAACCAGUGUGAGACUACAGCUAAAAUUCAAAGAAUAUCAAUGAUAAAUACAGUACAAUAUGUACUUACAGUAUGCCAUCGUACACCCACAAGCCCCCAGCCACACAUACAUGUACAGCACAAACAUAAGAAAAUAAACAUCGAUAAUCUCUGACAAAAAUGAUAGUCAUGUGCAUUUACACUGUACACACUGUAAUACUGCUGCAGGCGCUGAUCGCUUUCUUUAUCAUUUUUAUGCAUGUUUUUUUUUUCUUUCUGCAUUCAAUGAUAAAUACAGUACAAUAUGUACUUACAGUAUGCCAUCGUACACCCACAAACCCCCAGCCACACAUACAUGUACAGCACAAACAUAAGAAAAUAAACAUCAAUAAUCUCUGACAAAAAAUUAGUCAUGUGCAUUUACACUGUACCCACCAAGUUGGUUUUCACUGUAAUACUGCUGCAGGCGCUGAUCGCUUUCAUUUAUUAUUUUUAUGCAUGUUUUUUUUUUUCUUUCUGCAUUAUAAAGUGCAGCUAUCCCAGACUUCUGUGAUUAGUGCAUAAGCAAUAAUAUACCAUUUAUCACACCAAUAUAUUAUAUAUGUCUAUAUAUAUCAAUAAAAAAUAUACAUACCAUUUGAGGGGAAGCCAAAUGGGAAUUUUCUCAUGAGAUUUGAAGAAUCACAUUAUUGCUCUUCAGGACUGGUCACAUCAGCAGGACAUUGUACAAUACAAGGGGAACCAUAUAUUUUAUGAAGCAUCAAAAGGCUAAAACUUUUAAAAGAAUAUUCUGGGUUAUUUUUGUACGACCUCCAGGCCACAAAAUUAUAAAAAUAUUUUUUUAAGAAUAUUAUCAUGCUAACAGAUGAGACUAUGAUCUGGCCUUGUGGAUAACAUACACUAACAUUCAAAGGUUUGAGGUCAAUAAGAUUUUUUUUUGUUUUUCUUUCUCUUAUGUUCUGCAGGGCUGAAUUUAUUGGAUAAAAAAUAUUAUUACUAUUUAAAAGAAUAUAUCUGAAACCAUAAUUUUGUUCUGUGAUGCAUUACUCCAGUCUUCAUUGUCACAAUUAAGAAACAUUUCUUAAUUGUUGUGAUGCAAUCCUUUUUUACAGGAUUCUUCAAUGAAUCCAAAGUUAAGAAAUAGCAUUUAUGUGAAAUAACCCAGAAUAUUUCUUUAAAUGGCACCACGACAUGACUGAAACACAGGGCCGGAGAUCUGAAAUAUAAAUUAGCGCAGCACUGAAUCUUAAUGUAUAGGAAACUAACUUAUAUCCACAGUUUUACACAUGAGGUAUCACGGUUUGUUUUUAAUGAUCACAGGUGGAGAUGUGGCUUUCGGAGUCAUUAUCUCUUUAACAUUAACAAUAUCGAUCCUCAACGAAAGAUGUGCUAGACAUUAAAACAGUGCAAAUGUCCAGUGUCAUUAUGUUGAACACUGGUUAGAUGGACACGUCUGAUAGACUGACUUAUUAUUCUAGUUAGAUGGCUGGUGAUUGUUUAGCAGAUGAUCUGUCUUUCACAGCUGGGUGAUUUCAACUCAGACUCUAACACAGCUUCACUGUGAAAGCCCAUUGGGUGAAAUUGAGACCUGGCUCAUGAAUUAUCUAACCGAUGGAUCUGGAACUGUCUUUUUGCUGCCAGUACAGUAGGUGUAGUACUUGAGUUCACUUUCAAAAAAAUGUACAAUGACUGGUAAAUGGGGGACUGAGACUUUCAAUCUGCCAUCUCCUUCUGUGCUUCACUAACAGAAAGUAAGACAUAGGGGUUUAGAAUGACACAGGGAGAGGAAGUGAUGACAGAAAACUUUUUUUUUUUUUUUCCAAGGCUGCAUUUAUUUGAUCAAAAAUACAGUAAAAACAGUAAAAAUUGUGAAUUAUUAUUACAAUUUGAAAAUAAUCAUUUUCUAUUGUAUCAUAUUUUAUGUAAAAAAAUUACUAUUUAAUACAACUGUUUCCUAUUUCAAUACAUUUGAAACUGUAAUUUAUUUCUGUGAUCAAAGCUGGAUUUUCAGCAUCAUUACUCCAGUCUUCAGUGUCACAUGAUCCUUCAGAAAUCAUUCUAAUAUGCUGAUUUGCUGCUCAAGAAAUAUUUCUUAAUUGUUAUUCUGCAAUCCUUUUUUACAGGAUUCUUUGAUGAAUAGAAAGUAAAAAAAUAAUAAAAGGAAUUUAUGUGAAAUAGUAUUCUUUUGUAACAUUGUAAAUGUCUUUACUGUCACUUUUAAUCAAUUAAAUGCAUCCUUGCGGUAAUAAAGUAAAUCAAAUCUUACUGACCCUGAAAAUGUAGUGUCUACAAGAUGGCGCCGCUGAGUCCGGUCGCCGUCCAGGUCGCUCCGCUUAGAUUCGUGUUUUUAUUUACUUUUUUACCUUACUUUUGUCUUUCUUCUUUUUGUCUACACAUAACCUCUGCACUGAUCACUUACGACAAACGGAAUAAAGUAAAUCAAAUCUUACUGACCCUGAAAAUGUAGUGUCUACAAGAUGGCGCCGCUGAGUCCGGUCGCCGUCCAGGUCGCUCCGCUUAGAUUGUGUUUUUAUUUACUUUUUUACCUACUUUUGCUUUCUCUUUUUGCACACAUAACCUCUGCACUGAUCACUUACGACAAAGGAACACUUUUGGACAUUGGAUACCGCUUCACUAACCUGUUCCAGGACACUUUAUCCUCCAACCCAUCGUGGCCAUCUGAGAUUCUCCGGAACACCGAGAUGAACAAUGGCCACCUGAAUAACCACCCGAGGCGACGGAUCAAGAAACACCGCGGGAAACGUGCUGGGGUCCGCAACAGACUGAGAAAAAGAGCUCACAGUCCUCCUCUACCGAGCAUUCUGCUCGCCAAUGUCCAGUCUCUGGAGAAUAAGAUGGACGAUCUUAGAGCCAGGAUAAGUUUCCAACGGGACAUUAGGGACUGUAACAUCCUUUGUUUGUCUGAAACAUGGCUCACGCCCUCGGUCCUAUAACUAAAUCUCUAAUUUUUUUUGGUAAUUUCUUACUUUUUUGUGGGGGUUUUGUUACCUUGUUA
rnacentral:lncRNA from 1 species